CAGUAGCCACGGUAAUACGGAGGGGGCUAGCGUUGUUCGGAAUUACUGGGCGUAAAGCGCACGUAGGCGGCUUUGUAAGUUAGAGGUGAAAGCCCGGGGCUCAACUCCGGAAUUGCCUUUAAGACUGCAUCGCUAGAAUUGUGGAGAGGUAAGUGGAAUUCCGAGUGUAGAGGUGAAAUUCGUAGAUAUUCGGAAGAACACCAGUGGCGAAGGCGACUUACUGGACACAUAUUGACGCUGAGGUGCGAAAGCGUGGGGAGCAAACAGGAUUAGAUACCCCAGUAGUCCCUGUCUCUUAUAC
rnacentral:rRNA from 1 species